GAUGAACGCUGGCGGCGUGCCUAAUACAUGCAAGUCGAGCGAACAGACGAGGAGCUUGCUCCUCUGACGUUAGCGGCGGACGGGUGAGUAACACGUGGAUAACCUACCUAUAAGACUGGGAUAACUUCGGGAAACCGGAGCUAAUACCGGAUAAUAUAUUGAACCGCAUGGUUCAAUAGUGAAAGACGGUUUUGCUGUCACUUAUAGAUGGAUCCGCGCCGCAUUAGCUAGUUGGUAAGGUAACGGCUUACCAAGGCGACGAUGCGUAGCCGACCUGAGAGGGUGAUCGGCCACACUGGAACUGAGACACGGUCCAGACUCCUACGGGAGGCAGCAGUGGGGAAUCUUCCGCAAUGGGCGAAAGCCUGACGGAGCAACGCCGCGUGAGUGAUGAAGGUCUUCGGAUCGUAAAGCUCUGUUAUUAGGGAAGAACAAAUGUGUAAGUAACUAUGCACGUCUUGACGGUACCUAAUCAGAAAGCCACGGCUAACUACGUG
rnacentral:rRNA from 1 species